ensembl:snRNA U6 U6 spliceosomal RNA
GUGUUCACAUCAGCAGCAUAUAUACUAAAAUUGGAAUGAUACAGAGAAAAUCAGCAUGUCCCCUGUGCAAGGGUGAUACAUAAAUUCACAAAGCAUUCCAUACUUUU